rnacentral:rRNA from 1 species
GACGAACGCUGGCGGCGUGCUUAACACAUGCAAGUCGAACGGAAAGGCCCUGCUUUUGUGGGGUGCUCGAGUGGCGAACGGGUGAGUAACACGUGAGUAACCUGCCCUUGACUUUGGGAUAACUUCAGGAAACUGGGGCUAAUACCGGAUAGGAGCUCCUGCUGCAUGGUGGGGGUUGGAAAGUUUCGGCGGUUGGGGAUGGACUCGCGGCUUAUCAGCUUGUUGGUGGGGUAGUGGCUUACCAAGGCUUUGACGGGUAGCCGGCCUGAGAGGGUGACCGGGCAGGGGGGGAGGGAGCGACGGCCCAGGGCGCGGGGGGGGGAGGCAGUGGGGAAGAUAGGAGAGGGGGCGGGCGCGUGAGGGCGGAGCGGGGGGUGGGGGAGGACGGCGUGGGGGGUGUAACCCGGGUGGGCGGGUGAGGAGGGGUGGGGGGAGGUAGGGAGAAAAGAAGCAGGGGGUAAGUACAGGCCAGCGGGCGCGGUAAUAAGCGGAAGGUCCCACGUCGGACC